UCUUAUUACAACAUAGACAAACAAACAGUUGGAAAAAAAUGUGAUUCAUUUUUUUGUAAUGUGGAACAUUGAUUGAGCUUCACGCCCUAGUAUUUGGGUAUGUAACAGAAGCAAGAACAAAGGAACACCAAAGAUGUCCGAGGUUCUUGCUUGAUUGAGAAUUUAUUAUUGGACACAGCUUGGAGAUGGGAAGUUGAAUGGUGGUGAUUAUGAAACACGGAUGAUAAGAGCCCAAACAGGGUAGACAAGAAGAAGGAUGAUCCCCAAAGUGUUUGAAACUCCACGGGGCUGCGUGAACGAGUUCCUGAACCCACCUGACACUCUGAUAUGUUCUUGAAGAAGGUAACAACCAAUGAAAAGGCUGAUGACAGAGCCAAUCCAGCCUCCGCGUAUAUGGUGAACAAGGAAGUGUGGAGAAACUACCAGCAGAAGGAUCAGAGAACCAGGCAUCUCAAGCCAAUCUAGUACCACAAAAAAAAAAGACAUUUUUAGUAUUACCAUUAGUGGGGGAAGUGACUUAAAUGCAAAAAAAAAUUAAAAAAAGACAUAUACCCCAAACUGUUUGAAACAACAAUACCAAACAUGUAAACGAUAAGAGAUGAUGAUGACCUGGGAAAUGCUUAGGGAAGAAAAGUCUGAGUACAACUGCAACGAAAGCUAUCCAUUUCCCAACGUCUCCACUGAUACCAGAAAGGGAAACUUUCACUUUAACCAAUGCUAUUUAUAGACUGGAGUGUAAGAAUAAGUUGUGAGGUUGUGUUACCUGAGGAAAUUAAAAAUGACACCAGGAAGGGUGAGGAAGAUGUAUGGAAUCAAGAGUGAAGUAAGCAUCUUGGUUCUCCAAUUGGUACGAUCCAAUAUCAACAAGUAACUGCAUCACAACACCCAAAAACAUAUAAUCAUAUCCAAAUCUCCCUCAAUAACAGAGUAACACAAAGUCGUUGCUAAAGAUCUCAAUCUAUAAUCUCGAAUUCUCUCAAUUUCGAUUGACCCAAGAUCACAAUCGAAGAACCCACAAAGAAAAAUAGAAUCUUUCGUUCGUUCGUUGAGAAACUGAAACUCACAUGGCGGAGAAAGAAGCGAUCCAUUUGACGAAGGAAACACCAAAGGCUAAACCACCAAGGUUCGAAACGUCGGUGAGGAGUUUCUUGGCAGCGAUCUUGAGCUCCUCCACGUCGGAACUGACUAGAGCAACCUUAUCCACGUCUGUCUUCAUCGCCAGAUAAUCCACACGCCCCAUACUUUGUAGACGAUUCUCGAUCUUCGUACGAAGAUGAUGAUAAAUUUAAAGGUUUUAUAUAUGAAUUUUGAUUUUCUCUGAAUUAAAAAGAAAAUAAUAAUAAUCGUCCAGCUAGGUUUUAGCUAUCCAGAUCGUCUUCUCAGCUUGUAAAAUAAUAAUGAUGAUGAUGAUUGCUUUUUUGUUUGUCUCAAUCUUGCCUGGUUUAUCGGCGCGCGGCAAUAUAAAUAUGUGUUAUUUAGUUUUUUUUUUGUUGUCAAUGUUAUUUAGUUUUUAUUGUUGAAAAAUAUGUAUGUCUUUCCAUUAAAUGCAAUAGUUAUCAAGCAAUAGAUGGAAACAAAUUGUCUGAUUUUGAAUAAUUGUUGCUGCUUAUUAUAUGCUAAUUACUACUUGUGUUGUAUAUUGAAUAUAUUUAGUAGGAUGGCUCUCAAUCAGCCACCAAACGUAUAACUUUCUUUUUUAAAUACUUUCUUAUCUAUUAAUGUAUUGACCGGAAUUGACACUUUUUAUGGCUUUAUGCGGUAGUUCCUAUCCAUCAACAAAUGUAGUCCAACCAUAAGAAUCAUAUUAAAAACUUAGUCAACUUCGAAUUAAUUAAAGAAAAUACAAAAUAUAUUAAUAAUGGUCAUCUAUAAUACUGAAACAUACCAUCACACCCAACUCGAAUGCGCACCUCAACUUAUUUUCAUAUAAUAAAGGAGAAUAAUUGACAAGAUAUUUUCAAAAUUUUAACAACUUCCAAUUUUCAUGAUAUCAUGACGUGUAACCAAUACGUAACUCAUUCUUCGUUGUCUCGCUCAAAUCCAUGUUCCAUUUCUUGCGGUUCAUUAAACUCGCGUGUGAGUUAUAUUUUUUGCUUAAAUUUGGUUACUCGCGUGUCAGUUUUAUUUUUUGCUUAAAUUUGGUAACUCGCGUGCGAGUUUGUAACUAGAGAUUUUUUUCUUUUUUUGGUAAUAAUUUGUAACUAGAGAAUUGAUUUACUGAAACAUAAUAUAUCAAAAUUUAUAUAUUUAUCGAGCACUUUCAUUAAUAUAAAAGUGAGGUUUCGAUACAGUUUAACUAGAGUUUUAAAAUCUAAAAGUGACUCAAUCUGACCAUACCAAAUCCCUUGGAUCUUUACGUCUUUUGGUACCUUAAGCACCCAAGUUAGUAUUGGGCGGUUAACACUUCGAUCACUUCCGGUUGCUCUUUGUGAUCUUCAACAAGACCUCUCUUCCACAGAAGCGGCCGUGUUCUUGACGUUCUCCUUCUCUUUUCGACGGGAGAUUUCUUGCUAGGGUUUUGACCGGAAGGUCGUUCCCGCGCGGCUCCAGGCCUGUUGAGUGGGGUUGCAAAGUCGAGUCUUUUCCCACGGACUUUAGUGGUUCCGCGGGGGCGGAUUGCCCGAGUCCUUGCCGUUAAAGUUUCAACUUUUUUGGUCAAGGUGCUCACGAGCUUAUCAUGUUCUUCCGACCUUUUUCGUAGGUGACGAACUUCUUUUUAAACUCCUCGACCGCCGCGGCGUUGGCUGGUGCGUUGGCCGUGGAUAGCAAGCAAAGCCACUGUAUUACCGUACCCAGUGGAUCCACCACGACCCUUAGGGUACGAAGGGACAAAGAGAAACGGCACGCGUUCCCUCACAGAAGCAGAAAUGUGACUGCUGCUUAACCGAUCUCAUCUUCUUCCUUGAAGAUCACGCUUCCAUCAGAACCAACCUGUUAAAUGAACAUUUCAAUUUGAUCAGUCUGCUUAUUGCGGGAGAAGCAACACCAAAAAUUGAGUGUGCAAGUGAGGCAGGUCAUGAGCUUGGUGUUUUUAAAAUCCGGUGGGGUGUUCAUACUGACGCUACCUGCCCUGACGCGGUGAAGAAAGUAGGCUCAGAGCAAAAUUUCUUGCCGGUAUAAUUACCAGAUUUAAAUGAAAAUGUAUGAAGAGACACUGUCAAUAGUCGGACACUGGUUCGCGGUACCAGUAGUCCCCUUGACCUCAAUAAAGAAUAAACAACUAAAUCUAUGUCUAUUGUAAGUUUGCAUGUUACAUAUGAUAAAUGGAUUUAUCUAUGUCUAUGAAUUCAAUCUAAGAAGUAAGAUAGAUGAAACUCCUCAUCCAACAAAAACAACAAAGGCCUUUUGAUAAAGUGGGUUUGUUUAGUGACAAUCUGACAAGUCUCGGAUGUCUGAGUGAUGAUCAGAGGAGAUAGUUUAUUUUGUUUAAGAUAAAUUCGGACUAAGUUCUAAUUUUUCAAAGGACUAUUCAAUUAUUAAAUAUUGUUUGGUCGCGACGUAACAAAGCCUGAGGUGGAUGGAUAUAUACAUUCUUUUUAAUCUAAAAUGCUAGGGGAAAUCAAUGUUUUCUCCGGAAGCUAUUGGAACCUGCUUCCUAUUCGAAGCUUUGUUAGCCAAGGUGUUCUGUUACACUAAAUGUCUAACUUUUUUUUUUUUGUGACUUAUGUCCAACCUUUUUCUAUGAUCACUUCCUCAAUACUCCGAAAUUUUUUAUCCUUAUCUUUAAAUUAGUAUCCCUGCUACCAACAGUUUAAUAUUUAUAUACACCAUAUCCGUUUUUUCUUCCAAUUAAAAUUUUCUGAUCAAGCUUCGAAACCAAUCAUCCAUUAUCGUAUAACAAUAGAGCAAAAAAAGAACUUGGAACGAAAAAGUAUGCGAUACAGUAUUCAACAUGUUACAUGUACAUAAUUCAACCAAUGCAAUGUUCUGAAUAAUACUACCCAAUUUUUAUAACAAAACCAUUGUAAUUAUAGAAUCAUACUUUUGAAUAAAUAAAACUUAAGAAGCAAAAAGAAAGGGCACUCAGAAUGAGUAGGAGGUAUUAGUUAGAUUGAUCCGUAAGUUCCCCUCCUUCUAGCGCGAAACUGUGGGAACCGAAAUUCACACUGUCGAUUUCUGUUUAAAUAAGGAAACUAAGAAAACCCUAGUUUCCCAGAGGACCCGGAUAUCUGUUAAUUACCACACGUCAAGAAAUCAGAACACGAGAAUAACAACGAUAAAAAUAAGAAAUCGAAAAGAGAGCAAAGUAGAUCUUAUUCCGAAUCUGCGUAUGAGCGUUACAACAAGGUAUAAGCCUGGGCUCGAGAGCUGUCGGCGAGAUUCCUAGUUCUAGCAACCCUAAGACGGCUAAACCUAAUUGAGUCGCAGCUCGAAAUAACAAAAACGGAAAAAAAUCUAUGUCUAUUGUAAGUUUGCAUGUUACAUAUGAUAAAUGGAUUUAUCUAUGUCUAUGAAUUCAAUCUAAGAAGUAAGAUAGAUGAAACUCCUCAUCCAACAAAAACAACAAAGGCCUUUUGAUAAAGUGGGUUUGUUUAGUGACAAUCUGACAAGUCUCGGAUGUCUGAGUGAUGAUCAGAGGAGAUAGUUUAUUUUGUUUAAGAUAAAUUCGGACUAAGUUCUAAUUUUUCAAAGGACUAUUCAAUUAUUAAAUAUUGUUUGGUCGCGACGUAACAAAGCCUGAGGUGGAUGGAUAUAUACAUUCUUUUUAAUCUAAAAUGCUAGGGGAAAUCAAUGUUUUCUCCGGAAGCUAUUGGAACCUGCUUCCUAUUCGAAGCUUUGUUAGCCAAGGUGUUCUGUUACACUAAAUGUCUAACUUUUUUUUUUUUGUGACUUAUGUCCAACCUUUUUCUAUGAUCACUUCCUCAAUACUCCGAAAUUUUUUAUCCUUAUCUUUAAAUUAGUAUCCCUGCUACCAACAGUUUAAUAUUUAUAUACACCAUAUCCGUUUUUUCUUCCAAUUAAAAUUUUCUGAUCAAGCUUCGAAACCAAUCAUCCAUUAUCGUAUAACAAUAGAGCAAAAAAAGAACUUGGAACGAAAAAGUAUGCGAUACAGUAUUCAACAUGUUACAUGUACAUAAUUCAACCAAUGCAAUGUUCUGAAUAAUACUACCCAAUUUUUAUAACAAAACCAUUGUAAUUAUAGAAUCAUACUUUUGAAUAAAUAAAACUUAAGAAGCAAAAAGAAAGGGCACUCAGAAUGAGUAGGAGGUAUUGAUUCAUCAUGAAUCAGAUGACAAUAAACAAUCCUCAUCAUGCCCUUUCUUUUAUUCUUCCUUUUAAAAGAUGACGCACAAAACAUUACAAAACAUUCAGCAGAAACAAAUUAAGAAAAAAACAGACAAAGGAUUCCUCUCAGACAAAUGCCUCGUUUGUCCCCAUGAUUUAAAGAAUGGAUUAAUCGGACUCGUCAUCUAUGUUUGUUCAUCACUGAGAAACAUCUUUCCUUCGUUUGCAAAUCAAACUAACGAAAAUAAAUCAAAUAGAGACUAAAUAGAUAUGAAAUCGAAAUCGAAUCAAUAAACAAGACGAAUAUAAAAACAAAAACAAAAAAUUGAAAAGGAUUUCUCUCAGACAAAUGCCUCGUUUGUCCCCACGAUUUAUAGAAUGGAUUGAUCGGACUCGUCAUCUAUGAUUUGUUCAUCACGGAGAAACCCUUUCCCUCGUUCCACACGAGAACAAAACCAAUUCGGAACGAAAGAGGUAUGAAAAAGAAACAAAAACAAUGCCAAACGGACAUAUGAACAAAGCAGAGUCUAGAUAUGAGCUACGAUGUCGGAUAAGACAAUAUGUUUAUAACCGGCGGAGAGUAAAGUAUUUAUAUUGAAGCCAAACUAGGGUUAAGGUUUUUGGGACCGUCCCUACAUAAACAACACGAAGUUUAUUUUUUAAAAUAGGAACAGCGCGUAGUUCUAUUUCUCUCGUGAAUUGACUCCGCGUGUGCGUCUGCGAAACGGUGGAAGACAUUUGUGUUCUGAACAAACGACACGAAGUCUAAAUUACUGAAAUCUGAACAGCGUGCAGUUUUUAUUUUUUCUUUGUGCAGAAACAGCGUGCAGUUUAUUUAUCCUUUUGCUGCUAUAACCGAAUGACAAACAUUCAAUACGAAACAGAAUCCAUACAAGCAAUUUUUACACAUAGAAGUUCGUCUUAUUACAACAUAGACAAACAAACAGUUGGAAAAAAAUGUGAUUCAUUUUUUUGUAAUGUGGAACAUUGAUUGAGCUUCACGCCCUAGUAUUUGGGUAUGUAACAGAAGCAAGAACAAAGGAACACCAAAGAUGUCCGAGGUUCUUGCUUGAUUGAGAAUUUAUUAUUGGACACAGCUUGGAGAUGGGAAGUUGAAUGGUGGUGAUUAUGAAACACGGAUGAUAAGAGCCCAAACAGGGUAGACAAGAAGAAGGAUGAUCCCCAAAGUGUUUGAAACUCCACGGGGCUGCGUGAACGAGUUCCUGAACCCACCUGACACUCUGAUAUGUUCUUGAAGAAGGUAACAACCAAUGAAAAGGCUGAUGACAGAGCCAAUCCAGCCUCCGCGUAUAUGGUGAACAAGGAAGUGUGGAGAAACUACCAGCAGAAGGAUCAGAGAACCAGGCAUCUCAAGCCAAUCUAGU
rnacentral:lncRNA from 1 species